AGAGUUUGAUCAUGGCUCAGAGCGAACGCUGGCGGCGCGCUUAACACAUGCAAGUCGAGCGAACCAAGAUGGAGGUAACUUCAUUUUUGGUUAGCGGCGAAUGGGUGAGUAACACGUGGGUAACUUACCCUCAGGAGGGGGAUAACUCGGGGAAACUUGAGCUAAUACCCCAUAAGACCACGGAUUGAAAUAUCAGUGGUAAAAGGAGCAAUCCACCUGAGGAUAGGCCCGCGGCCUAUCAGGUAGUUGGUAGGGUAAUGGCCUACCAAGCCUAUGACGGGUAGCCGGGCUGAGAGGCUGAUCGGCCACACUGGGACUGAGACACGGCCCAGACUCCUACGGGAGGCAGCAGUGGGGAAUAUUGGGCAAUGGGCGAAAGCCUGACCCAGCGACGCCGCGUGGGGGAAGAAGGCCUUCGGGUUGUAAACCCCUUUUGUAGGGGACGAAUUGAGACGGUACCCUACGAAUAAGCCACGGCUAACUCUGUGCCAGCAGCCGCGGUAAGACAGAGGUGGCAAGCGUUGCUCGGAUUCACUGGGCUUAAAGGGCGCGUAGGCGGCCUUGUAAGUCUGGGGUGGAAUUCCAUAGCUUAACUAUGGAACUGCCCUGGAAACUAUAAGGCUUGAGUCAAGUAGAGGAGGGCGGAAUUCCCGGUGUAGCGGUGAAAUGCGUAGAUAUCGGGAGGAAGGCCAGUGGCGAAAGCGGCCCUCUGGGCUUGUACUGACGCUGAGGCGCGAAAGCGUGGGGAGCAAACUGGAUUAGAUACCCCUGGUAGUCCACGCCCUAAACCGGGGGCACUAGGUGUGGGGUCCUUAUGGAUUCUGUGCCCAAGGGAAACCAUUUAAUGCCCCGUCUGGGGGAGUACGGCCGCAGGUUGAAACUCAAAGGAAUUGACGGGGCCCGCCAAUCCGUGGAUCAUGUGGUUUAAUUUCCAAGUAA
rnacentral:rRNA from 1 species